GUGGGGAAUCUUGCGCAAUGGGCGAAAGCCUGACGCAGCGACGCCGCGUGGGUGAUGAAGGCCUUCGGGUUGUAAAGCCCUGUGGGGAGGGACGAAUAAGAGCGACCUAAUACGUCGCUAGAUGACGGUACCUCCUUAGCAAGCACCGGCUAACUCUGUGCCAGCAGCCGCGGUAAGACAGAGGGUGCAAACGUUGUUCGGAAUUACUGGGCGUAAAGCGCGUGUAGGCGGUUUGGUAAGUCGGAUGUGAAAGCCCGGGGCUCAACCUCGGAAGUGCAUUCGAUACUACCAUACUCGAGUACUGGAGAGGAUGGUGGAACUCUCGGUGUAGAGGUGAAAUUCGUAGAUAUCGAGAAGAACACCGGUGGCGAAGGCGGCCAUCUGGACAGAUACUGACGCUGAGACGCGAAAGCGUGGGGAGCAAACAGGAUUAGAAACCCGAGUAGUCC
rnacentral:rRNA from 1 species